rnacentral:lncRNA from 1 species
UUCUAUAUUUGGGAGGCUCUAUUGAUGAAUUAACACUAUAAUAGAUCUUCAGUUGGCAAAAAAAGAUCAUGUAAUUCAUUAAAAAAAAUUCCAGCUCAGGUAAAUUAAAAUCCUGACUCCGCCCUUGACCGUGUAUUCACUAACCAAAAAAAAUGGAAAUAUAAGACAAAGCUUUUCAUUCAGUACUCUUUUCCUUGUGUGCGCGCGCACACACGCACGAAGGCAUAGAAGGCAGCGUGAAACCCACAAUUGAGGCAUGCUUGCCAUUUUUUAUAACUGUUUUUCCACUUUUCUCCAAACUGAUGCAUGAACUGUGACGUCUUCAACUAUUUUGUUGAUUACAGUUGUGGGAGAAGUCCUUAUUUGAAUAAAUGUUCUAUUGUUCCUCUUUACCCGAAUUUGAUAUGCAGAACUAGAAGUGAUAGUUUCCUAAUUGCAAAGACAAAGAUAUCCUUUAGACAAUUCCGAGUUGUCAGUUCAAUUCAAAUUCCUAUUUUUAAGGAUUUCUUUGAGUUACAUUUUGUAUUGAGGAUUGGUUUCCCAACUUCUGCUGAACAAUUCCAAAAGAAGAAAAAUGUUGUAGUGAUUCUAUAUUCAUUCCCCAGAGAGAGAGGAGAGAGAUCAAUUAUACAUCUUCAUGAAUUGUGCAACAUCUAAGAGGCAAGAACUCACAUACUAGAUGAUGUUAUGUUGUCCAGAGAUAAAUUAAUUGAUUGUUAAAAGAUGCUCACAAUUACGUAAAUUAUUAAGUUCCUAUCUUUGCAAAAUACAAAUUACAAUCCCAAGCAUAUCUAAAGGGGAGAAAAAGUUUCACCUCUAAAAUGCGACACAAUAUACUAUUUAAGAUAUCAAUUUCCAUUUUCAUCAGUUUUUUCUGAUAAAAAAGGUUACACGUAGAACCGUGUGGGGAACCAGCUGCCACAAUUAACUCCAACACACUGAAGACUCGAGGUGUUUCAAAAAAAGAAAAUUCUUCAACAUCACACCCACGAGACUAUAAUAUCAUAUAAUCGUCUUUCAAGUGAAUUGAAAGGGAAAUAGACAACAAAGAAACCAAAAUAGAAGUAAUGCCAUUCUCUUUCAUAGCACGUAUAAAAUAUGAUGAAGGCACCUUCUUCUCUCUGCCUUCACUAUACCACAGCAAGAACUGAAUUCAAAACCUGGUAUCACGAGUGCAAAUUUCAUAAUCAGAACCUCAUAAAUAAACAUAUAUAGAGAAACACACCUUUUUUGAGCAUGAUGAAGAACUGGGAGUUUUCAAGUGGAGAUGUAGUCCAGGCAGACGAUGCCCAACUUCCUUUGUCUACCAUUUUUCUUUCCCCAUCAUUUCCUGCAACACAAACUUGAAUGCGAUUUGGAUGAUUUUAUCUGUUAUGAUUACUUUGAUAUAAGAAAUUCUCUAAUGAAUCACUGGAUAAUGUAAUGUGUUUAGAAUUAGCAUAAACGUAAACUCGGUAUGAAACAAACUUAGCAUAAAGGAAACACAAUAACAACUGACCAUUAUGACUAUUUGAGAAUCAGUAUCAAUACAUUCAUAAACAAUAUGUAUAUGCUAAUAUUGAACUCUCUAUUGCAUUUUGCAUCAUAAAACUAAAAUAUAUGUAUGCUUGGUGGUUACCUACCCCCGCAGUUUCGAAAGAUAAUGAUUCCCUGGGUUCUUGCUCUAAAGAAAUAAAAUGACCACAUGCACUGAUUCGUCAAGACCGAUAAAUACUUUCAAACCAGAUGCACUAUAACUUAAAUAUAGCAGCCAUAACGUUUGAUGAUGUGAUGAAACCUUCAAUUGUGGAUACAUGGCUGCACUGGGUCGAUUGGGGAUGCAUUGAUCCUUCAUUGUCAUAUUGCUCUGAAUUGUCUAAACAAGACAUAGGGCAUGAAACCCCAAGGUCAUUGUCAGUGAUUGAAUCCGUGUUUAGCUAACCCAUACUUUGUAUAAUCAUUCUUGUAUUGUUCCAAAUUUUGCUUUCCGGAAAUUUCAUUGGAUCACUGGAACAUCCUGAUAGGCUAAGGUUGUGUUAUCGCCCUACUAGUGUGAUAAAGUUGAUCCUGAAGCUUUGGAGGUAUCACCGAUUUUCCUCUAGGAGUUUAAUUCAGGCGCUGGAUAUAUUUUAAAAUACUUUUGAAUAACUCUUUCAACCACAUGAUCCCAAAAGAUCUCUAAGAGGCUCUUAUCUACAGCAUAAAAUCACUGAAACUUCGGUAGAGCUUCAGAGCUUUCAUCAACCUCCUCUGAAUACAUUUUCCUCUAAAAUAUCAAAAGAAAUACGGCCUUCCCCAACUUUUCAAGGUAGCAUAUGCCAGACAACUGUAUACACACUAUCCCUAAUAUGGCCCUUUUCCUUGCAUUAGAGUGAAUAUUCGUUGAGCACAAUCAACCUUCUCUCUCUUACAUAACCUUCUUAUUAGUACACUGAGAUGUCAGCGCAAAGGCCUUUUCUCACAAACUCAUCCAGCAGUCUCAUGAGUGCCUCUUCAUCGUCUUUGUCACAGUAUACAUCCA